rnacentral:rRNA from 1 species
UACAGAGGGGGCAAGCGUUGUUCGGAAUUACUGGGCGUAAAGGGCGCGUAGGCGGCCUGCUAAGUCGAACGUGAAAUCCCUGGGCUCAACCCAGGAACUGCGUCCGAUACUGGUUGGCUUGAAUCCGGGAGAGGGAUGUGGAAUUCCAGGUGUAGCGGUGAAAUGCGCAGAUAUCAGGAGGAACACCGGUGGCGAAGGCGGAUCUCUGGGCCUUACCUGACGCUCAGGUGCGAAAGCUAGGGGAGCGAACAGG